GUUGUUUCUAAGGGAAAGGAUUGUGGGAUUUCAUCUGAGAAUAUUAUGUCUCCCAGCUUGAGAACUGGCAAAUAGACAAAGAAAAAUGCCAAGACUUGAGAAGUAGAACUGUGAUAAAAUGUUUUGCUAUUGGUUUUCCUGAAGCCUAGAAAAUCAUUGUUUCUAUAAAUGACCUUUCUGCUUCCACAGUAUUUAAAGUAAGUGGCUAUGCAUGCCCUUGGAAAGAAACUAUUAAUGAAAUGAUUAUUCCAGGUUCCUCUCUAUUUUUUUUUUUUAAGCAUCUACAAUUUCUUGGUCCAGAGGAUGCCUACCAGCACAGUCAUUAACUGAGAAUAUGUUUAUGGAUUUUACAAUCUGAAGAUAGUUAGGGUCAAUAACUAUGUUGCUUGCAAACACCUGGUUUUGUGAGUACUACUGUCACUGCUCUAAAUACAAGCUUUUGAUAUGGUCUCGUAUAAUGUGAUCCCCUUGCUAAAAUACCUAUCUGAACAUGAAAAUACACCUGUAGAUGCAGCAACUAAAUGUCCAAAGUAGUCUUGCAACUAUGUAGUUGCAUGCGAAAAUUAGAACUGGGUACACAAAGCCUAGACUGAAAUAUUUCCAAGGCCUUGGCACAAAAAUGAAGUAAUGCAGCGUUCUCUUUCUGAGUCCUCAAACCUACAGCUGUUGUUCUGGGAAGCUCUGAGGAACUGAUACUGAGGUAUCAGUAUACUGCAAGCAGGAAGGAGGGGGGAACCAACUGCUAAAAGGUGGUUAGAGGGAGAUUAUCUGUGUAAGAAAAUACCUUAAGCUCCUUUAUGACUAGGCCAUGCAUUAUUACACCCAGUCUGGGAAGGAACAAAUUACUACAGAAGUUGAAUAUAAUUAUUUCCAGAAAGUGGGAGUGAGAGAGACUUGAGAUACUGAAAUAACUUCUGGCACUGAACAGAAGAUCUUUCUGCUUUAUUGUUGCUCAACUUCUCAUAUUGGAUUUUGUUGCAAACCAAACUCCAUGAGUGGUGUGGAAAGCUGGACAGCUCAGCAAACAUUCACAAAUAGGGUGAAGAAGAUGGAGACUGUGCUAUGAAUGCCCACAGGAAGACAGGAAAACAAAAGUAGGUCCUGGAGUUCCAAUAUUUUAUUCACAGUUCUAAUAUUCACCAGCAGUUGAAUCUCCUACUUCAAAGGGGAGCACCAGACGGACCAAGCCGUGUCUCAGCAGCAGCGGGCGGCCCCCCCCAGCCGCGCACCGCCUGACCGAACCGCCCCCGCAGAGAGGGGGGCGCGCAGCUCCCGGCCCGCACCGCCGCACGGCUCGGCGCGCCCCUCCUCCGCCCGCCGCCCUCGCACGGCCGUGACCCGCAGGCCGCCCCGGCAGGUUAAUCCCCUCCGGCCCCUCCCACGGCGUCCCCCGGGCCUACGAAAGGCCCUCCCCCCGCUCACCGUGAAGGGGAUGUCCUCGACGCUGCCCACCGAGUAGCAGUUGUCCCCGGGGUUGACGGCGCCGGUGAGCACCUGGUGGAGAUGCAUCGCGACCGCUCGCCCGGGGACGGCGCCGCCGCCGCCUACGCCGGCGACGAGAAAACGAGACCCGGAUGGCGCCGCGCUCCCGCACGGGCCCUGCCCGCCGCUGCCACCGCCGCGAGCG
rnacentral:lncRNA from 1 species